AGCUUUGCACAGUGGCAGUAUCAUAGCCAAUGAGGUUUAUCUGAGGCACAAUUAUUGCUAACUGAAAAAACUUCUCAUUACUCUUCUAAAAUCUAAACUUUUAUAUAUAGAUUACCAUAAGAUUUGUGGAAAGCUAUUCUAGGU